rnacentral:rRNA from 1 species
AAAGGCCUUCGGGUUGUAAAGCUCUGUCGGGAGGGACGAAGCCACUCGGGUGAAUAGCCCAGAGGGUGACGGUACCUCCAAAGGAAGGUCCGGCUAACUACGUGC